AGUUCGAUCCUGGCUCAGGAUGAACGCUGGCGGCGUGCUUAACACAUGCUAGUCGAACGAAGCGCUCCGGACGAUUCUUUCGGGAUGAGACUGGAGGGACUGAGUGGCGGACGGGUGAGUAACGCGUGGGUAACCUGCCUCAUACAGGGGGAUAACAGUCAUAAAUGGCUGCUAAUACCGUAUAAGCGCACAGUACCGCAUGGUACGGUGUGAAAAACUCCGGUGGUAUGAGAUGGACCCGCGUCUGAUUAGCUGGUUGGCAGGGUAACGGCCUACCAAGGCGACGAUCAGUAGCCGGCUUGAGAGAGUGGACGGCCACAUUGGGACUGAGACACGGCCCAGACUCCUACGGGAGGCAGCAGUGGGGAAUAUCGCACAAGUGGGGGAAACCCUGAUGCACCGACGCCGCGUGAGUGAAGAAGUAUUUCGGUAUGUAAAGCUCUAUCAUCAGGGAAGAUAAUGACGGUACCUGACUAAGAAGCCCCGGCUAACUACGUGCCACCAGCCGCGGUAAUACGUACGGGGCAAGCGUGAUCCGGAAUUACUGGGUGUAAAGGGUGCAUACGUGGUGCGGCAAGUCAUAAGUGAUAGCCCGUGGCUCAUAUCCGGGACUGCUUUCGAGACUGUCAGACUGGAGUGCAGGAGAGGUAAGCGGAAUCCCUACUGUAGCGGUGGAAUGCGUACAUAUUAGGAGGAACACCAGUGGCGAAGGCGGCUUACUGGACCGUCACUGACACUGAGGCACGAACGCGUGGGGAGCACACAGGAUUAGAUACCCUGGUAGUCCACGCCGUAGACGAUGAAUACUAGGUGUCGGGGCCGCAGAGGCUUCGGUGCCGCAGCAGACGCAGUAAGUAUUCCACCUGGGGAGUACGUUCGCAAGAAUGAAACUCAAAGGAAUUGACGGGGACCCGCACAAGCGGUGGAGCAUGUGGUUUAAUUCGAAGCAACGCGAAGAACCUUACCUGGUCUUGACAUCCUCCGGACCGGCCCGUAACGGGGCCUUUCCUUCGGGACUGGAGAGACAGGUGGUGCAUGGUUGUCGUCAGCACGUGUCGUGAGAUGUUGGGCCAAGUCCCGCAACGAGCGCAACCCUUAUCUUUAGUAGCCAGCAUUUUGGAUGGGCACUCUAGAGAGACUGCCAGGGAUAACCUGGAGGAAGGUGGGGAUGACGUCAAAUCAUCAUGCCCCUUAUGGCCAGGGGUACACACGUGGUACAAUGGUGGUAACAGAGUGAGGCAAACCCGCGAGGGGGAGCAAAUCACAAAACCGCCAUCUCAGUUCGGAUUGUAGUCUGCAACUCGAAUACAUGAAGCUGGAAUCGCUAGUAAUCGCGAAUCAGAAUGUCGCGGUGAAUACGUUCCCGGGUCUUGUACACACCGCCCGU
rnacentral:rRNA from 1 species